UACGGAGGGUGCAAGCGUUGUCCGGAUUUAUUGGGUUUAAAGGGUGCGUAGGUGGUUUGAUAAGUCCGGGGUGAAAGCCCACAGCUCAACUGUGGAACUGCCCUGGAUACUGUCAGACUUGAGGGUAGACGAGGUUGGCGGAAUAGAAGGUGUAGCGGUGAAAUGCAUAGAUACCUUCUAGAACCCCGAUUGCGUAGGCAGCUGACUAGGCUACACCUGACACUGAGGCGCGACAGCGUGGGGAUCAAACAGG
rnacentral:rRNA from 1 species